rnacentral:rRNA from 1 species
AAGUCCUCUCACUUCACCUAAAUCACGCCCUCCUCCCCAGAUCCCAGAGAAGCGAAGGCGACCCACUCCUCAAUCUCCACAGCCGGCGUGCGCAAGUGCAACCCACACCAAACAUAUAAAACGUGCUCAAAGGGAGAGCCUCCGCCCAAAAUACGCGGCCUUUUCCUUCCUCCUUCCUCCUCCAGCUCGGUCGGUCGACUCCUCCCUCCGAGUCUCCACCUCCGACCUCCUCCGCUCCUCUCCAAGCAGCUCCCCCAGCUCCGGCCCGCGCGCCGAGGAUGUGCGGGAUCUUCGCCUACCUCAACUACAAUGUCUCGCGGGAGCGCCGCUACGUCCUCGAGGUGCUCCUCAACGGCCUCCGCCGGCUCGAGUACCGCGGCUACGACUCCUCCGGGAUAGCGGUCGACGCGGACCUCCCGGCGCCGCCUGCGCCCGGCUCCGCGCCGCCUGCGCCCGGCUCCGCGCCGCCUCCCUACGCCGGGGCGCCCCCGCUCGUGUACCGGCAGGAGGGCAAGAUCGAGAACCUCGUGCGAUCCGUCUACGCCGAGGUUGAUGAGAAGGAUGUGAACUUGGAUGCCGCAUUCAAUGUGCAUGCUGGAAUUGCUCACACCAGGUGGGCCACCCACGGCGUACCAGCCCCGAGGAACAGCCACCCGCAAUCUUCCGGCGCCGGUGAUGAGUUCUUGGUCGUGCACAAUGGCAUCAUCACAAACUAUGAGGUUCUGAAAGAGACACUUACUCGGCAUGGUUUCACCUUUGAGUCUGAUACCGACACAGAAGUCAUCCCUAAGCUAGCAAAGUUUGUUUUUGAUAAGGCUCAUGAUGGAGAAGGUGAUGUGACAUUUAGCCAAGUUGUUAACGAAGUCAUGAGGCAGCUUGAAGGCGCCUACGCCCUUAUUUUUAAAAGUCCACACUACCCCAACGAGCUGAUUGCAUGCAAACGAGGCAGCACACUGAUACUUGGUGUCAACGAAUUGAGUGGUCAAAAGAGCGGGAAAUCAUUCAAUGAUGUCAAAGCCCUGACAGCAAACGGAAAGCCAAAAGAGCUAUUCUUCUCCAGUGAUUUAUGUGCUAUAGUGGAGCAUACGAAGAACUAUUUAGCUAUUGAAGAUAAUGAAAUCGUUCAUAUCAAGGAUGGCAGUGUGUCUAUCCUUAAGUUUGACCAUGACAAAGAGAAGCCAGCAUCUGUGCAACGAGCAUUAUCUGUUCUUGAGAUGGAAGUUGAGCAAAUAAAGAAAGGAAACUAUGACCACUUCAUGCAAAAAGAAAUCCAUGAACAACCACAUUCACUGACGACAACGAUGAGGGGUAGACUAAAGGAUGGUGCAGUUCUUUUGGGGGGACUGAAGGAACACCUCAAAACAAUUAGACGCAGUAGAAGAGUAGUCUUUAUUGGCUGUGGUACUAGUUACAAUGCUGCGUUAGCUGCGAGAACUUUUGUGGAAGAACUAACAGGUAUUCCUGUGACAAUGGAGGUUGCAAGUGACUUGCUGGACAGACAAGGUCCCAUCUACAGAGAGGACACUGCUGUUUUUGUUAGCCAGUCAGGGGAGACAGCAGAUACCCUUCUUGCUCUUGAUUAUGCACUGGAAAAUGGAGCACUUUGUGUUGGCAUAACAAAUACUGUUGGAAGCACACUCUCAAGAAGAACACAUUGUGGAAUUCAUAUCAACGCUGGUUGUGAAAUUGGUGUUGCUAGCACUAAGGCAUACACAAGUCAAAUUGUAGUCAUGGCAAUGAUGGCCUUGGCUAUUGGAUCUGACCAAAUAUCCACUCAAGCUAGAAGGGAAGCUAUCAUCAGUGGUCUUUUCAGUCUUCCAAGCAAUGCGAGUCAAGUUCUGAAACUUGACUCUGAAAUGAAGGAACUUGCCUCUUCAUUGAUCGACUCGGAAUCGCUCCUCGUGUUUGGAAGAGGUUAUAACUAUGCCACUGCCUUAGAGGGUGCUCUCAAAGUUAAGGAGGUUGCGCUGAUGCAUAGUGAAGGCAUGUUUGCUGGUGAGAUGAAGCACGGGCCACUAGCCCUAGUGGAUGAAAACCUUCCCAUCAUCGUCAUUGCAACACGCGACGCAUGCUUCAGCAAGCAACAGUCCGUGAUCCAGCAGCUCCUUUCUCGCAAGGGGCGUCUGAUCAUAAUGUGCUCAAAGGGAGAUGCCUCUGCUGUCAAUCCCCGCGGAUCUUGUAGAGUGAUUGAAGUUCCAAAGGUCGCGGACUGUCUCCAGCCAGUGAUUAACAUAAUACCGUUACAGUUGCUCGCAUACCAUCUCACCGUUCUUCGUGGAUUCGACGUUGACCAACCAAGGAAUCUGGCGAAGAGCGUGACCACCCAGUAAGUAGAGGAAAAACAUGCAGAGUCAUAGCUCAGAAGUAUUCAGGUAUUUCUUCUAGAAAAGAAGAAAGAGUGCUGUAGCCGUGAAUAUCGUGAUAGUGUAUAUUUGAGGAGGUUAGCAUCAUCGGCAGUCUGUUGAUCAGCUCGUUGUGAAAAUGUAUGAAUGUUAUUUGCGAAAAAGAAAGCAGGUUAUCUUUCAUGUAUGCUUUGCUUGUCGUAACCUAAGAUGAUGCAUUGGCUCGCUGGAAUUGCUCAUGUUGUAAUUACUGAAAGACCUUUGUUUGUUAUUAUUACUACCAUUGGAAACAUAUUGAGAAAUUAAAA